AGGGGUAUAGCUCAGCUGGUAGAGUCGCGGUCUCCAAAACCGUUGGUCGUGGGUUCAAAUCCUUCUGCCCCUGCCA
rnacentral:tRNA from 1 species